rnacentral:rRNA from 1 species
AGAGCUUGCUCUUAUGAAGUUAGCGGCGGACGGGUGAGUAACACGUGGGUAACCUGCCCAUAAGACUGGGAUAACUCCGGGAAACCGGGGCUAAUACCGGAUAACAUUUUGAACCGCAUGGUUCGAAAUUGAAAGGCGGCUUCGGCUGUCACUUAUGGAUGGACCCGCGUCGCAUUAGCUAGUUGGUGAGGUAACGGCUCACCAAGGCAACGAUGCGUAGCCAACCUGAGAGGGUGAUCGGCCACACUGGGACUGAGACACGGCCCACACUCCUACGGGAGGCAGCAGUAGGGAAUCUUCCGCAAUGGACGAAAGUCUGACGGAGCAACGCCGCGUGAGUGAUGAAGGCUUUCGGGUCGUAAAACUCUGUUGUUAGGGAAGAACAAGUGCUAGUUGAAUAAGCUGGCACCUUGACGGUACCUAACCAGAAAGCCACGGCUAACUACGUGCCAGCAGCCGCGGUAAUACGUAUGUGGCAAGCGUUAUCCGGAAUUAUUGGGCGUAAAGCGCGCGCAGGUGGUUUCUUAAGUCUGAUGUGAAAGCCCACGGGCUCACCCGUGGAGGGUCAUUGGAAACUGGGAGACUUGAGUGCAGAAGAGGAAAGUGGAAUUCCAUGUGUAGCGGUGAAAUGCGUAGAGAUAUGGAGGAACACCAGUGGCGAA